UGGCGAGGACAGGGAGAAUGGCUGAGAUCGGAACUUGUGGGGACAGCUCCCGACAACGCCGAAGCGGACGGGGAUAAGACGACUGAGAUGGCGGCUAAGAAAAGAGGAAGCUCAUAAUCGUAUUCAGACGAGGGGAAGCGAAGGGCGAUCUUACCAUUCACUCUUUUUGAAGUCAGUAAGGCUUUAGCUACAGAUGUGCUUCGGCCCAUUGGCGGGCGAAAGGCCGCGUGGCAGCGACGUAGAAACUCCACGAGGAGCGACUUAGGGCCGGACGGCGGCGCCACCGACGGCUUCACCUAGUCCCCACCAUUCGCCACUAUUUUGCAAAGAGGCCCUUCUGUCUUCCAAAAUUACGUCGAACACCUUCUUUGCGUCGCCGCCACCUUUUAUGGGCAAGCGGCUCCCGGAUCCGGAGGACGAGAGUCACCAAGACCCCGCUUCGGCCUGUGGUGUGGAACAAGGAGACGACGUCGUCAUCCGUGAUGGAUUUGGCGGACCUGCCGGAGGCCAGCGUCCCACUGAAGGAGGUGGUAGCGGACUGCGCGCGGCGGUGAUUCCAGGACGCGCUUAAGGAAGCCAGGGCCGGUGACGUGUCGAUGCAGGUCCUUGUCGCUCAGAUGUACCAUAGCGGAUACGGGGUGGCGAAGAACGAGCAAAAGGCAAAUGUGUGGAUUACAAAAGCCUCCAGAUAUCAGUUAACAGUUCGGAAAGUCAGCGACAAGCAUCCAGGCUACAAUGCUAGUGAUUCUUAUUCUGAUGAAGAGAAAAAUUAAGUUGGUCUUGAUCAGGUACGACUUCAAUUUUUGAGAGGCAUGCUGUAGCAAGUUAAAAUUAUGUCCAUCAUUUACAUUAUGCUUAGUAUCACUUAUUUCAUGGUCAAGAUGACCAUCUAUAUCGAUUCAUUUGGAGUUCUAUUAGGUUCCGAUGUUUUAGUUUGAAUGGGAGAUCUUGGUCUUGAACAUUAUCGAGGUUAUAUAGUGUUAUGCUAUUUUAGAAUAUUUGGUAAUGGCAAACAUAUUAUGGAUGCUUAGAACUAUGUUUCUGGAGUACAUAUGACUGAAACACAAUUUAUUAGCUUGACGAGGAAAUUAUGAAAGGGUGUUUUGCUGUAAUUAUCAGUAUUUCAAUUUAUAUUCUCAAAAUAUUUGUGAGAGGUCUUGCGUUGGAGGAGACAAUAUAAUUAAGAUUAUGGUAAUAAGAAAGAAAGGAAGAUCCAGAGUGUUACAAUCACAUCUGAAUAGACAGUGGGUUGCUUCUGCUGGAUGCCCAACUUACCAGUAUUGAUGCUCUAAAGGAAUGCAGAAUUGCAGGACUUUGUCAAGAAAAUUCUUGUUUCCCCUUGUUGAUCACUUCAUGAGAUCAUUGAUUAGAUAUCUUCUUUUUUUUUUUUUUUUUUUUCUUUUAUGAUUAUAUUGGCAAUUGGUCUUUUUGGUUUCUAAGGCUCUUGUAAUAUUUCUCUUAUCUUGUGGCAGUUUUUGAAAUUAUAUUUUUGGUACA